GGCCGCCUGGCGAAAUGGCAUCGCGUCUGACUACGAUUCGUCGCGAUCAGGAGAUUGCAGGUUCGAGACCUGCGGUGGUCA